GACGAACGCUGGUGGCGUGCUUAACACAUGCAAGUCGAACGAAGAGCGAUGGAAGCUUGCUUCUAUCAAUCUUAGUGGCGAACGGGUGAGUAACGCGUAAUCAACCUGCCCUUCAGAGGGGGACAACAGUUGGAAACGACUGCUAAUACCGCAUACGAUCUAAUCUCGGCAUCGAGGAAAGAUGAAAGGUGGCCUCUAUUUAUAAGCUAUCACUGAAGGAGGGGAUUGCGUCUGAUUAGCUAGUUGGAGGGGUAACGGCCCACCAAGGCGAUGAUCAGUAGCCGGUCUGAGAGGAUGAACGGCCACAUUGGGACUGAGACACGGCCCAGACUCCUACGGGAGGCAGCAGUGGGGAAUCUUCCGCAAUGGACGAAAGUCUGACGGAGCAACGCCGCGUGAGUGAUGACGGCCUUCGGGUUGUAAAGCUCUGUUAAUCGGGACGAAAGGCCUUCUUGCGAACAGUUAGAAGGAUUGACGGUACCGGAAUAGAAAGCCACGGCUAACUACGUG
rnacentral:rRNA from 1 species